CCAGAUUCCUUCCUCUGUUCUCAACACCGAAUCUUUAACUGAAGCAGGUCCUAUGCUAUUUUCAGAACACUUGACUUCAAAUUCUAUUUAUCCUUCUCUUUUUGCUCUUUUUCCUUCUUUUCACGUUCAGCUUUUGCUUCUUCCUCCUCGUGUUGUUUUAUCAACUGCUCCACCUCCUUUUGCUUCAGAACCCUUAUCACUGUUUUUCCAUUCUCUCUCGUCAGUGUUGCAAUUUCAACUUUCUCUGCAGAAAGUUUGCUGACAUCCAUGGUCUUAUUUAGAACCUUAAUGGCUAAUGCAAGUGCAGUCUUUAAGGUCAUUUCGCCUUCUUUGUAGUCUUGUUUCAGCAUUGACACAGCUGCAGCACUGUUAUUGCCAAUGCACGUAGCUUUCCAUCCUCCGUAAUUUCCACUGGGAUCACUUUGAUACAGCUGAAAUCCAUAAUGCUUAUCCCAACCGAUAUACAGCAACGAAACACCAAAAGGACGUUUUCCUCCAAACUGCGUGUAAGCCUGCUUGAUAUCACACAGUGCAGUUACCAAUUGCUCACAAGGAAUGGGUUCCUGAUACUGUAACAAAUACCUCUGUGCAAUCAGUCUCAGCUCAUUUGUUAGAACAUUGGCAUCUGAGGUUAUUCCUGCAACACUGCACGCCAUAUCCUCGUUCAGUUUGUAGAUCUUUUCUGAGAAGAAAACCUCAUCGAGGAGCUUAUGAAUGUUGCGCCUCUCUGCAGCCAGCAGAACACCAUCGUUGGCCAGGAUGCCCAAGCAAGUACCCGCGUGUCCGAUUGCCUCCAUGGCAUACUCAACCUGGUACAGGCGGCCUUCUGGAGAAAAUAUGGUGGUUCUGGAGUCAUAUCUUCGAGACAUGGUGCCGGAGCGGCGGGGCAGCGGGCAGCGGGCCGGGGAACGCGCGAUGUGCCGAAGGGACGCUGAGGUGCGGCCGGCGGGAAGAACCGGGCGCUACCGCCUCCCCCACACCUGCACCGCGGCGUCGGAAAUGGCCGCCGCGCCUGCGCGGUGCGUG
rnacentral:lncRNA from 1 species